rnacentral:rRNA from 1 species
UACGGAGGGUCCAAGCGUUUAUCCGGAAUCAUUGGGUUUAAAGGGUCCGUAGGCGGUUUUGUAAGUCAGUGGUGAAAGCCCAUCGCUCAACGGUGGAACGGCCAUUGAUACUGCAAGACUUGAAUUACUAGGAAGUAACUAGAAUAUGUAGUGUAGCGGUGAAAUGCUUAGAUAUUACAUGGAAUACCAAUUGCGAAGGCAGGUUACUACUAGUGGAUUGACGCUGAUGGACGAAAGCGUGGGGAGCGAACAGG